UACGUAGGGUGCAAGCGUUGUUCGGAAUCAUUGGGCGUAAAGAGCGUGUAGGCGGUCCGGUAAGUCGGCUGUGAAAGUCCAAGGCUCAACCUUGGGAUGCCGGUCGAUACUGCCGGACUAGAGUUCGGAAGAGGCGAGUGGAAUUCCCGGUGUAGCGGUGAAAUGCGCAGAUAUCGGGAGGAACACCUAUGGCGAAGGCAGCUCGCUGGGACGUUACUGACGCUGAGACGCGAAAGCGUGGGUAGCAAACAGG
rnacentral:rRNA from 1 species